rnacentral:sRNA from 1 species
GAACUUUGAGGGAAUUGCCAAAAG